CUGGGAAACUGCCUGAUGGAGGGGGAUAACUACUGGAAACGGUGGCUAAUACCGCAUAACGUCGCAAGACCAAAGAGGGGGACCUUCGGGCCUCUUGCCAUCAGAUGUGCCCAGAUGGGAUUAGCUUGUUGGUGAGGUAACGGCUCACCAAGGCGACGAUCCCUAGCUGGUCUGAGAGGAUGACCAGCCACACUGGAACUGAGACACGGUCCAGACUCCUACGGGAGGCAGCAGUGGGGAAUAUUGCACAAUGGGCGCAAGCCUGAUGCAGCCAUGCCGCGUGUAUGAAGAAGGCCUUCGGGUUGUAAAGUACUUUCAGCGGGGAGGAAGGUGUUGUGGUUAAUAACCACAGCAAUUGACGUUACCCGCAGAAGAAGCGGGACCGGCUAACGUGCCAGCAGCCGCGGUAAUACGGAGGGUGCAAGCGUUAAUCGGAACUGGGCGUAAAGCGCACGCAGGCGGUCUGUCAAGUCGGAUGUGAAAUCCCCGGGCUCAACCUGGGAACUGCAUUCGAAACUGGCAGGCUUGAGUCUUGUAGAGGGGGGUAGAAUUCCAGGUGUAGCGGUGAAAUGCGUAGAGAUCUGGAGGGCCCUUGAGGCGUGGCUUCCGGAGCUAACGCGUUAAGUAGACCGCCUGGGGAGUACGGCCGCAAGGUUAAAACUCAAAUGAAUUGACGGGGGCCCGCACAAGCGGUGGAGCAUGUGGUUUAAUUCGAUGCAACGCGAAACCUUACCUGGUCUUGACAUCCACAGAAGUUUCCAGAGAUGGAUUGGUGCCUUCGGGAACUGUGAGACACCGGUUGGUGCUGCAUGGCUGUCGUCAGCUCGUGUUGUGAAAUGUUGGGUUAAGUCCCGCAACGAGCGCAACCCUUAUCCUUUGUUGCCAGCGGUUAGGCCGGGAACUCAAAGGAGACUGCCAGUGAUAAACUGGAGGAAGGUGGAUGACGUCAAGUCAUCCCCUUAAAACGACCAGGGCUACACACGUGCUACAAUGGCGCAUACAAAGAGAAGCGACCUCGCGAGAGCAAGCGGACCUCCCGGUAAUAAGCGUCGUAGUCCGGAUUGGAGUCUGCAACUCGACUCCAUGAAGUCGGAAUCGCGUAGGGUUUAUCGUGGAUCAGAAUGCCACGGUGAAUACGUUCCCGGGCCUUGUACACACCGCCCGUCACACCAUGGGAGUGGGUUGCAGGUUAAAGAAGUAGGUAGCUUAACCUUCG
rnacentral:rRNA from 1 species